rnacentral:tRNA from 1 species
AGAGUGUUAAGUUAACAUAGACUAUGGUAUUUCAAGUACUAAAGUGGUAUAUUCCACACUUUA